rnacentral:lncRNA from 1 species
UUCAACCGUUUUUCUUCAUGUUCGGUUCAUAUUUACAUCAAUUUACCCCUCAGUCUAAUUUAUUUCGAUGGGAUCAAUUAUGUAUCAAUGAUUAUGUAUCAAUUAAAAUUUUGAUUAAUCAUGAAAAUCAGGUUUAACCGAUUGAAUUAGAUUCAACCAUGAUAAAGCAGCGUUUCCAUUGUGAUUCUAGCGAUGCCUCCAGUUUAUGCACCUAAUUCGCUUUAAACAUAUUCUCUAUCCUUUAUAUACUAAAACACAAGUCACAUGACCACUAAAAUUUUAACACAUAGCAAAGCUUUAACUAUCUAAAUUCCUGAUUUUUCUAAAACAUAUCCCCUAUCCCUUAUCCCUUGUAUUUUCUUCAUCUUCUAUUUUUUGUGCAAUCCAAAUCUUCAACUACCUAAAUUCCUGAUUUUUUUCUCAAAAUUUGCAU